rnacentral:rRNA from 1 species
UAACCUGCCAAGAGACUGGGAUAACACCUGGAAACAGAUGCUAAUACCGGAUAACAACACUAGACGCAUGUCUAGAGUUUAAAAGAUGGUUCUGCUAUCACUCUUGGAUGGACCUGCGGUGCAUUAGCUAGUUGGUAAGGUAACGGCUUACCAAGGCAAUGAUGCAUAGCCGAGUUGAGAGACUGAUCGGCCACAUUGGGACUGAGACACGGCCCAAACUCCUACGGGAGGCAGCAG